rnacentral:rRNA from 1 species
CCCUUAGAUGUCCGGGGCUGCACGCGCGCUACACUGAAUGAAUCAGCGUGCUAGAAAACCUUGUUUGACAUGGCUAGGUAACCCAUUGAAAAUCAUUCGUGAUUGGGAUCGGGACUUGCAAAUGUGUCCCUUGAACGAGGAAUUCCCAGUAAACGCAAGUCAUCAGCUUGCAUUGAUUACGUCCCUGCCCUUUGUACACACCGCCCGUCGCUCCUACCGAUUGAAUGAUCCGAUGAAUAUCAUGGAUUGAGGAUGCAAGUAGGUUCACCUAUCUUCAUCUUCGAGAAGUGAAGUAAAUCUUAUCAUUUAGAGGAAGGAGAAGUCGUAACA